UUAAAAACAACAACAAGGCAGAGUGAAGGAGCGCAGCUGAGGACGACAGGAAGUGAAUUUGAGAGAGAACGAGUGACAGGAAGAUAAGAAAAGGGAGAGAGAGCCUGAGAUUUAAGAUCUGCAGGUGAAAGUUUGUCACCUUUGAACCACUGGAGGACGUACGCUGAGGCUGAGAAAUAAGACUCUGACAGAGACCAAGAGGACAGCCAUGUUUUCAGCCAGACCAGAGAUCCAGCCGUAAAAGACAAGAGGCGGUCGCCCCCCU